rnacentral:rRNA from 1 species
AUCGAACGCUGGCGGCAUGGCUAAAACAUGCAAGUCGAACGCGAAAGUCACUUCGGUGGCGAGUAGAGUGGCGAAAGGGCGAGUAAUGUGUAUCUAACGUGCCCCCGAGUCGGGGAUAGCAGGGAGAAAUUCCUGGUAAUACCCGAUGACCCCGGUAGUCCGCAUGGUCGGCCGGGCAAAGAUUUAUCGCUCAGGGAUCGGGAUACAUCCUAUCAGCUUGUUGGUGAGGUAAAGGCUCACCAAGGCGAAGACGGGUAGCGGGUGUGAGAGCAUGACCCGCCGCAUCGGGACUGAGACACUGCCCGGACUCCUACGGGAGGCUGCAGUAACGAAUAUUCCGCAAUGCGCGAAAGCGUGACGGAGCAAUGCCGCGUGCAGGACGAAGCCCCUCGGGGUGUAAACUGCUGUCAGGGUUUUAGGAAUCCAUG